rnacentral:tRNA from 1 species
AAAAUCCGUUGGGCUUUUUAAACCGUGAGGGUUCAAGUCCCUCUACCCCCA